rnacentral:lncRNA from 1 species
CUAAGACAAACAACACUAGCAUGGACGAGGGAUUUUUUACCUCGGUUGGCGCGCGAACGAGCUGCAGGUUGCUGCGAAAGCUGGGAUUGCUGUGAAGACGCAGAAUCGGCCAUUGAUCUUCUUCGGAUGAAGGUAUGAAACCCAGAAAAUUAUGAAGAAAUGAUGAAUAUCGCCCGGAAAACUGGGAAUUCCUUGAAGAUCGCCCGGAAAACUGGAAAAACUUUGAAUAUCGGCCGGAAUCUGGAAAAUCUUUGAAGAUUGCCGGAAAUUCGCCUGAAACUUCGCCUAAAAGCUAGAGGAUAUUUGAGAGUGUUUGGGAGGAUUUUUAGCUCUUGAACUUGGAAACUAUUGUGUGAAAUG